rnacentral:rRNA from 1 species
GACGAACCGUGCGAACGUUGUUCGGAUUCACUGGGCUUAAAGGGCGCGUAGGCGGCGCAGCCCGUCCGGGGUGAAAGCUUUCGGCCCAACCGGAAAAGGGCCCCGGAAACAGCUGCGCUGGAGGGAGGUAGGGGCAUGCGGAACUUCCGGUGGAGCGGUGAAAUGCGUUGAUAUCGGAAGGAACGCCGGUGGCGAAAGCGGCGUGCUGGACCUCUUCUGACGCUGAGGCGCGAAAGCCAGGGGAGCGAACGGG